GGCAGCAUGAACUAGCAAUAGUUUGAAGGCGACCGGCAAACGGGUGCCGGAACACGUACACAACCCUCCUUUAAGUGGGGAAUAGCCCAGAGAAAAUUUGGAUUAACACCCCGUAACAUUGCGAUGUGGCAUCGCAUUGCAAUUAUAGUUUCGACGCUUAAUGAUGGGUGUGCGUAUGAUUAGAUAGUUGGCGAGGCAACGGCUCACCAAGUCUACGAUCAUUAGCUGAUGUGAGAGCAUGAUCAGCCACACGGGCACUGAGACACGGGCCCGACUCCUACGGGAGGCAGCAGUAAGGAAUAUUGGUCAACGGACGCAAGUCUGAACCAGCCAUGCCGCGUGAAGGAUUAAGGUCCUCUGGAUUGUAAACUUCUUUUAUAUGGGACGAAAACAGAUCUUUUUAGAUCCUUGACGGUACCCAUAUGAAUUAGCCUCUGUGUCUGUG
rnacentral:rRNA from 1 species